AGUGAACGCUGGCGGUAGGCCUAACACAUGCAAGUCGAACGGCAGCACAGUAAGAGCUUGCUCUUACGGGUGGCGAGUGGCGGACGGGUGAGGAAUACAUCGGAAUCUACUUUUUCGUGGGGGAUAACGUAGGGAAACUUACGCUAAUACCGCAUACGACCUACGGGUGAAAGCAGGGGAUCUUCGGACCUUGCGCGAUUGAAUGAGCCGAUGUCGGAUUAGCUAGUUGGCGGGGUAAAGGCCCACCAAGGCGACGAUCCGUAGCUGGUCUGAGAGGAUGAUCAGCGACAUUAGAAGUGAAGCACGAUCAGUACGCCUAAGGUAGGCGGCGGUGGGGAAUAUGGGGGAAGUGGGGGAAGCGUGAUGAAACAACGCCGCGUGGGUGAAGAAGGCUGUCGGGCUGUACAGCCCUGUUAUUGGGAAAGAAAAGCAACAAGCUAAGGCCCACCUGGUGUGACGGUACCCAAUAAAAAAGCAACGGCGAACUCCGUG
rnacentral:rRNA from 1 species